rnacentral:rRNA from 1 species
GAUGAACGCUGGCGGUGUGGAUAAGGCAUGCAAGUCGAACGGGUUUAGACCCGUGGCAAACGGGCUAGUAACACGUGGGAAUCUACCCUGAAGUCGUGAAUACGCUGGAGAAAUCCAGUACAAUACACGAUGUGCUCUACGGAGUAAAGAUUUAUCGCUUCAGGAGGAGCCCGCGUCCUAUCAGCUUGUUGGUGAGGUAAAAGCUCACCAAGGCUAUGACGGGUAGGGGGUGUGAGAGCAUGGCCCCCAGCAUUGGAACUGAGACACUGUCCAAACUCCUACGGGAGGCUGCAGUCGAGAAUAUUCCACAAUGGACGAAAGUCUGAUGGAGCGACACCGCGUGCAUGAUGAAGGCCUUAGGGUCGUAAAGUGCUUUUAACUGGGAUCAAUGUACUGAGCGUACCAGUUGAAUAAGAGGCUACUAACUCUG